GAGAUACCUCUUGCUGGCAAGCCCUUCAGAUCCGGAGAACUUCCCAUUUGUUGUUUUGGGAAACAAAGUUGACGUGGAUGGUGGAAACAGUAGAGUGGUGUCUGAGAAAAAGGCUCGAGCAUGGUGUGCCUCCAAAGGAAACAUCCCGUAUUUCGAGACAUCUGCCAAGGAGUGAGUUAACGUGGAAGAAGCUUUCCAAUGCAUAGCAAAGAAUGCCCUGCAGAGUAGUGGGGAUGAGGAUGAAAUAUACAUGCCCGACACCAUCGACGUUGCGACCACCAGCCAACCGAGGUCAACUGGAUGCGAGUGUUGACAUAAAUUGCGUGAUAUUUUCCCUGGUU